rnacentral:rRNA from 1 species
GACGAACGCUGGCGGCGUGCUUAACACAUGCAAGUCGAACGAAGUGGCGAACGGGUGAGUAACGCGUAAUCAACCUGCCCUUAAGAGGGGGACAACAGUUGGCAACGACUGCUAAUACCGCAUACUGAAGGAGGGGCUUGAGUCUGAUUAGGUAGUUGGAGGGAUAACGACCCACCAAGGAGAUGAUCAGUCGCCGGUCUUAGAGGAUGAACGGCCACAGUGGGACGGAGAGAAGGCCCAGACUCCUACGGGAGGCAGCAGUGGGGAAUCUUCCGCAAUGGACGAAAGUCUGACGGAGCAACGCCGCGUGAGUGAUGACGGCCUUCGGGUUGGAAAGCUCUGUUAAUCGGGACGCGGUACCGGAAUAGAAAGCCACGGCUAACUACGUGCCAGCAGCCGCGGUAAUUC